CGGCGAACGGGUGAGUAACACGUGGGCAACCUGCCCCUCACACUGGGAUAACCUCGGGAAACCGGGGCUAAUACCGGAUACGACCUCGAGCGGCAUCUCUUGAGGUGGAAAGCUCCGACGGUGAGGGAUGGGCCCGCGGCCUAUCAGCUAGUUGGUGGGGUAAUGGCCUACCAAGGCGACGACGGGUAGCCGGCCUGAGAGGGCGACCGGCCACACUGGGACUGAGACACGGCCCAG
rnacentral:rRNA from 1 species